UACGGAGGAUGCAAGCGUUAUCCGGAUUUAUUGGGCGUAAAGCGUCCGUAGGUGGUUAAUCAAGUCUAUUGUCAAAGCCUGGGGCUUAACCCUGGAGAGGCGGUGGAAACUGGUUGACUUGAGUGCGGUAGGGGCAGAGGGAAUUCCCAGUGUAGCGGUGAAAUGCGUAGAUAUUGGGAAGAACACCGGUGGCGAAAGCGCUCUGCUGGGCCUGCACUGACACUGAGGGACGAAAGCUAGGGGAGCGAAAGGGAUUAGAAACCC
rnacentral:rRNA from 1 species